ensembl:processed_transcript RIKEN cDNA D330023K18 gene
CGUGCUCUGGAAGGGGGCGCGGCUGCCGCCUCCGAGGUCCUUGAGAUCAUUUUACUGCAAAAUGCAACUCUGGUCACCGAGGGACCUGAGCGGAUCACCUCGGCACUCUUCAGUUGGCCUCCAAGGGCGGAUUUCCGGCAAAGCCCCUGUACCUGAGAGGACCAGAAGAUGGUGUCAGAGCCUCUGGAGCUGGAGUUACUGGCAAUUGUGUGUUGCCUGACAUCAUGAGUACUAGAAACUGAACUCAGGUCUGUGUGUCUUGUUAGAAGAGUUCUUUGAGACCCCAAAGCUAACACAGUGGAAGGAAGCAGAGGUUUGUCGGGGCCUGGUAGAAUCUGCUGGCCAUGUCUUCCAGAUUGCAGUGGGAACCUCAGGCAUCUCUUGAGACAGAGAAGAAACUCUUAAAGCGUCUUUUUGGCAAGUGAGCAAAUGUCAGUCCAGUGGCUUCAGCCCACUGAAGGUGAGCUGGAGGUGAACCCGAGAGUCACUUUUCAACCUGGGACACUACAUCCUGCUCAACUGGUGACAGACUGUGUUUCAUGAUUGACAGUCUUUGCAGACGUCCAGAGAACUCA